rnacentral:rRNA from 1 species
GUCUCAGUUCGGAUUGUAGUCUGCAACUCGACUACAUGAAGCUGGAAUCGCUAGUAAUCGCGAAUCAGAAUGUCGCGGUGAAUACGUUCCCGGGUCUUGUACACACCGCCCGUCACACCAUGGGAGUCAGUAACGCCCGAAGCCGGUGACCUAACCGAAAGGGAGGAGCCGUCGAAGGUGGGACCGAUAACUGGGGUGAAGUCGUAACAAGGUACC